GAUUAAGUGUCCUUGCUGGAAAUAUUUGUACUUUCUUCCUAAAAUAUACUGUAGGAUAAUAUGAUACAGCAUACAAACUACUAUGACUCAAAAUAAGAGCUAAAGGAUGUUAUCUUUGAUAUUUAUAGGAAUGUUUUUGGAGACACUUUAUACCUGGGGAAUUCUAUUCCAUUUCAAAGAAUGAUGAAAUCACGUCUAUUAAAUCUGGACUGACUGUAACAACCAGCUUUUCUCCAAGAUUUAAUGUAACCCAAGUGCUGUCCAAGGCACACCAGUUAAGGGAUCAAAGGUGUGAAGGCUGGUGAACAGGAGGAGGCAAGGAGAAGAAGGAUGUCAGAGGAGAAAAAGUAGAAACCAAUU
rnacentral:lncRNA from 1 species